AGAGAGUUGGUGGAGUGGUUUAACACGGUUAGCUUGAAACUAACUAAAUAGUAAUAUUUCAUGGGUUCGAAUCCCUUACUCUCUG
rnacentral:tRNA from 1 species